rnacentral:rRNA from 1 species
UCCCUACGGGAGGCAGCAGUGGGGAAUAUUGCACAAUGGGGGAAACCCUGAUGCAGCGACGCCGCGUGAGUGAAGAAGUAAUUCGUUACGUAAAGCUCUAUCAGCAGGGAAGAAAAUGACGGUACCUGAGUAAGAAGCCCCGGCUAACUACGUGCCAGCAGCCGCGGUAAUACGUAGGGGGCAAGCGUUAUCCGGAUUUAUUGGGUUUAAAGGGUGCGCAGGCGGGAGAUCAAGUCAGCGGUAAAAUGUCGGGGCUCAACCCCGGCCGGCCGUUGAAACUGGUUUUCUAGAGUUGGAGAGAAGUA